CGUAGGUACUUCCGGAGCAAGUGUCCCAUCGCACGGCGUGGCCAAAUCUACGAUGCUGUAAGCGGUGGUUGGGUGCAUCGUGUUAUUAACUUAGUGAAGAGAUUCGAAUCGCGCACACACAUUAGUAGGCCAUGUAACGAUAUUCAAGUGCAGUGAACGUAAGCGCAAUCGGUCGUUGUCGUCGCCGCCUUCGUCGUCAUCGGGCUUACUCCAGCUGAGCGUGUUUUUGCUCACACAAACUCUCGCGCAUCACUCCGGGCAUGCGACUCAAGUUAAGUCGCGAUUUUUUCAACUAUUUUCUUCGCUUUCCGCUUAGUUUUCAUUUGGAGCUCUAGUUAUUAGCAGUUUUCAAGUUCAUUCGAAUAGUAGCGCGGUGCGGUGUUUUCCAGCCAUAGAAUCAAGGCUACAAGUGUUUUCCCGAUAUCGGAGUGUUCCAAUUCCAAGUGGAUUUUGUCAUUUUAAUCGUGAUCGCGAACGAAAAUAACCGGAGCAGCUAGAAGGAACGAUCGUGCGGUUAAGAACGUAUUCGCCUUCCUUACUCGCUCUGUCUCUCUGCUAUCGACUUUUCGGUUUCUCUUUCUCGAUUCAGUGCAUUCCGGCUUAAUUCGUCGAUAUUCUUUUGCGUUGUUCGGUUGCGUGGUCAAACGUUGUUUUUGUUUAUAUCUGUUUUAUUUUUGUGAGGGUUUGCACCUGGAUUGUGCAUCAUCGUCGUAUAGUGUUAGAAUUUUAAAUGCCAACAAAAUCAUCUUUUUGUGUGCGCCGAAGUGUAUCAUCAAACUUAUCGAAUUGGUGAUAAAAAAUUGAAGCGGAAAACUAAAUUCCAAAACAACCAAGAGUGGGGAUCCCCGUGUUACGAAACGAAGUUACGUGCUGCAAAAAUAUCAUUCUCCGAUAAUUAAAAGCAAGCAAGCUAACGCAGGAAACGAGGAAGCAGAAAUCACAAAAUUGAAUGGAAGUUUAUGUGUGCAGAAUUUAAAGCAGUUUUUCUAUGAAUCGUCGAUUGUGAAGUGAAGUGAUACACCUUUGCAGUUGAAUGGUGAAGCAGAAGGCAAUAUAAUUAAUUAAACUUCAGUUUGAAGAGCUCUGCGUUCCCCCACUUCGAUUUUGUCGCGUUGUUCUGGGUUCGAAGAGUUUUGCGGAUAUUUUCCACCACCACCCGGCUCGUCCUGCUUAUUAGAGUUAUUGGAUUUUACUGCAGGACCGGGAAAAGUGCUGCCUCUCAGUCAUCAUCCACAGAGCACAGCCAUCGACAAAUCGGAUCAGCGAAUUGGAAUGUCAUUGAAGAAAGAAACCCUAUCAGAUGUACAGCUGCACUUGGCUGCAUUACGCGGAGACGAAAUGUUGCUGAAACGUGUUUUGGAUAGCGGCAAGGUGCACGUGGACUGCCGUGACGAGGUAGGUGUACAAUUGCGGUGGUUUUGGUGGUGCUAAUCAGGAUCAAAUAAUAACGUGUCUGACUAUGUGUGAGGUGCGAAUAUGCUGGGGGAAUAUAAAUGAAGGAAUUGGAUGGAUUGUUUGGCAGGUGGCACAUUUAUAGUGCACCCAAUUGAAUACCUUUUCCGGAGGGGUUGCAGAUCAGCGCAAAUUAAUCUGGCAUGUGCUUAAUUUGGAAGGUAGUUUUCAUGAGUGUUAUUAUAAUGAAUAGAGAAGAUUGGUGAUCGAUCUAUUUUACACUUAUUCAAAUUUUGAUAAUUAAGAAUUUUGGGUAGUACUUGCACGACACUAAAAAUCAAAACCUUAUUUAACAUGCUUCACCAACGGAGGCAGGACGUUUUACAUUAUUUCAUGGGUGGAAAUUUCGUAUAACGGACGUUUGGCAUAAACCCAGAUAGCCGUAGCGGUAAA